AGGCCUGUAGCUCAAUUGGCAGAGCAACGGACUCCAAAUCCGUGUGCUGGGGGUUCGACUCCUCCCAGGCCUG
rnacentral:tRNA from 1 species